rnacentral:rRNA from 1 species
GACGAACUCUUCGGAGUUAGUGGCGGACGGGUGAGUAACACGUGGGAACGUGCCUUUAGGUUCGGAAUAACUCAGGGAAACUUGUGCUAAUACCGAAUGUGCCCUUCGGGGGAAAGAUUUAUCGCCUUUAGAGCGGCCCGCGUCUGAUUAGCUAGUUGGUGAGGUAAAGGCUCACCAAGGCGACGAUCAGUAGCUGGUCUGAGAGGAUGAUCAGCCACAUUGGGACUGAGACACGGCCCAAACUCCUACGGGAGGCAGCAGUGGGGAAUCUUGCGCAAUGGGCGAAAGCCUGACGCAGCCAUGCCGCGUGAAUGAUGAAGGUCUUAGGAUUGUAAAAUUCUUUCACCGGGGACGAUAAUGACGGUACCCGGAGAAGAAGCCCCGGCUAACUUCGUGCCAGCAGCCGCGGUAAUACGAAGGGGGCUAGCGUUGCUCGGAAUUACUGGGCGUAAAGGGAGCGUAGGCGGACAUUUAAGUCAGGGGUGAAAUCCCGGGGCUCAACCUCGGAAUUGCCUUUGAUACUGGGUGUCUUGAGUAUGAGAGAGGUGUGUGGAACUCCGAGUGUAGAGGUGAAAUUCGUAGAUAUUCGGAAGAACACCAGUGGCGAAGGCGACACACUGGCUCAUUACUGACGCUGAGGCUCGAAAGCGUGGGGAGCAAACAGGAUUAGAUACCCUGGUAGUCCACGCCGU